CAAUAGCGUAUAUUAAAGUUGUUGCGGUUAAAAAGUUCGUAGUUGGAUUUCUGCCAAGGACGACCGGUCCGCCCUCUGGGUGAGUAUCUGGCUUGGCCUGGGCAUCUUCUUGGAGAACGUUGCUGCGCUUCACUGCGUGGUGCGGUAUCCAGGACUUUUACUUUGAGGAAAUUAGAGUGUUUCAAGCAGGCUUCCGCCUUGAAUACAUUAGCAUGGAAUAAUAAGAUAGGACCUCGGUUCUAUUUUGUUGGUUUCUAGAGCUGGGGUAAUGAUUAAUAGGGAUAGUUGGGGGCAUUCGUAUUUAACUGUCAGAGGUGAAAUUCUUGGAUUUGUUAAAGACGGGCUACUGCGAAAGCAUUUGCCAAGGAUGUUUUCAUUGA
rnacentral:rRNA from 1 species